GACGAACGCUGGCGGCGUGCCUAAUACAUGCAAGUCGAACGGUCUUUUCUAUGGAAGCUUGCUUCCACUGAGAAGAUAGUGGCGAACGGGUGAGUAACACGUGGGUAACCUGCCCAUAAGAGGGGGAUAACAUCCGGAAACGGGUGCUAAUACCGCAUAGUUUUCUUGAUCGCAUGAUCGAGAAAGGAAAGACGGCCUUUGUGCUGUCACUUAUGGAUGGACCCGCGGCGUAUUAGUUAGUUGGUGGGGUAACGGCUCACCAAGACGAUGAUACGUAGCCGACCUGAGAGGGUGAUCGGCCACAUUGGGACUGAGACACGGCCCAAACUCCUACGGGAGGCAGCAGUAGGGAAUCUUCCGCAAUGGACGAAAGUCUGACGGAGCAACGCCGCGUGAGUGAAGAAGGUUUUCGGAUCGUAAAACUCUGUUGUCAGAGAAGAACAAGUCGGAGAGUAACUGCUCCGGCCUUGACGGUAUCUGACCAGAAAGCCACGGCUAACUACGUGCCAGCAGCCGCAGUAAAAC
rnacentral:rRNA from 1 species